rnacentral:lncRNA from 1 species
GAUGGCUCUCCAACUGCUCCCUGAAAACAAAUCAACAUAAUAAAGGCUGGUUCUCCUUUCAAAAAUGGACAGAGUCCAAACAAAAGAAAAAAAAAAGGAAAAACAACAAAAAGAACAAAAAAAUGGGGGAAGAAAAAGCUAGGUUUUUGCCACAUCACCACGGCCAUUUCCCCGAACCACCGCACCCCACCACCAUUGACUCUAGGCUUUCUCUCUUUCGCACCCCACACCACCGACUCUCGACUCUCCCUCGCACCCCCAUCACCACUGACUCUCGGUCCUCUCCCUUGCACCCCUUGCCACUUGCUGAAAACCACCAACCGAACCCCUAUCACCCCAUCGCUGAAAAUCAAAGAAACAUAAAUUAAAUCCGACAACCAAAAAGGCAGUAACUAAACCGAAAUCCAAAACAACAGCAAUAACCAAAAAUAAAAUAGAUAAAAUAACACUUAUCUUCAAGAGGGAAACGCUGGCGGCAGCUAAAUCGUCGGUAGAGGAAUUGGCGGCGACCGGGGUAGAAGAAAAGGCUAGGGUUAGAGGAGAAGAGGAAAAAAAAAAGAAAAAGAGAGGAAAAGAGAAAGAGAAAUAAAAAAAUAUAAAAAUAAAACGGAUUAGCUGGAUCCAAUCUGACCCGACCCGCACCAAUGACCUGACCCGACCCGUACCACCGUGAGAAAUAAAAAAAUAUAAAAAUAAAACGGAUUAGCUGGAUCCAAUCUGACCCGACCCGCACCAAUGACCUGACCCGACCCGUACCACCGUCUAACAGCAGGCCCACACUCCAACAAUCCCAGCAGGCUCCAGCAGUAAGCCCAGAUCCAACAAGUCCAGCAAUCCAAUCCAACAACAGCCAAAGCCAGCAGUGGUGGCCCAGUUUGUGCGACCCAAACAAAAAAGAAAAAAAAAGGAAAAAAAUAAAAAUAAAAAAUGGGUCUGACCCGACCCGUAUAACCGACCCGAAC